AGACUUACCUGGCAGGGGCGAUACCAUGAUCACGAAGGUGGUUCACCCAGGGCGAGGCUCUGUCAUUGCACUUGGGUGGUGCUGACCCUUGCGAAUUCCCGAAAUGCGGACAUCUGGAUCAGUGAUC
ensembl:snRNA U1 U1 spliceosomal RNA